rnacentral:lncRNA from 1 species
GACGAGUGCAUUCACCAAAAUCAAAGAUGAUGACAGCAGCAGCAGCCACGCACUCCGCCAAGACGCCCCAGUACUCGACAGAAGAAGAUCAAGUGAUGGUCAUCCUGGAAGAAUUCAUGUAGAGAAGUGUGUUCAGGAGCUGCCCGGGACGACUUCAGACAUUGCUUGCGAUAUGCUUCCUCAAAGCCUUGAAUGUAUGUAUACCCUGGCAGAUGAAACAUAUCAAGUUAAAUUUCCUUUCUUCCUAAUUGUGGUUGUUAUCAGGUUGAAGCUGCCAUUUUCCAAUAGCUUUUAUGACAUUAUUAGUAGUCCCGCUUUGUCCUUUACCUCCAGAUAGAUAGAGGCCGUUCUCAGAGACCCGCAUGCGCAUCGUGCAGCUACCAUCGUGCACCCAACUGGAAAUGCCAAAAUGAGUUUGCAGUG